CGAAAUGCGAUAAGUAAUGUGAAUUGCAGAAUUCAGUGAAUCAUCGAAUCUUUGAACGCACCAUGCGCUCCUUGGUAUUCCUUGGAGCAUGCCUGUUUGAGUAUCAUGAAAUCUUCAAAGUAAAUCUUUUGUUAACUCAAUUGGUUUCUACUUUGGUAUUGGAGGUCUUUGCAGCUUCACACCUGCUCCUCUUUGUUCAUUAGCUGGAUCUCAGUGUUAUGCUUGGUUCCACUCGGCGUGAUAAGUUAUCUAUCGCUGAGGACACUGUAAAAGGUGGCCAAGGUAAAUGCAGAUGAACCGCUUCUAAUAGUCCAUUGACUUGGACAAUACUUUUAUGAUCUGAUCUCAAAUCAGGUAGGACUACCCGCUGAACUUAAGC
rnacentral:misc_RNA from 1 species